rnacentral:rRNA from 1 species
UACGUAGGGUGCAAGCGUUGUCCGGAAUUAUUGGGCGUAAAGAGCUCGUAGGCGGUUUGUCGCGUCUGCCGUGAAAGUCCGGGGCUCAACUCCGGAUCUGCGGUGGGUACGGGCAGACUAGAGUGAUGUAGGGGAGACUGGAAUUCCCGGUGUAGUGGUGAAAUGCGUAGAUAUCGGGAGGAACACCAGUGGCGAAGGCGGCCCCCUGGGCCGCUCCUGACGCUGAGACGCGAAGGCCAGGGUAGCGAACGGG